GUCUCUGAGGAUGAUCAAUCGAAAACUUUCGUUCUUCCAAGGACAUCCAAUGCGGAAAGUUAAUGGAGACCUGAACUGAAGAGAC